rnacentral:rRNA from 1 species
GAGUUUGAUCCUGGCUCAGGAUGAACGCUGGCGGCGUGCUUAACACAUGCAAGUCGAACGAACCUUCGGGUUAGUGGCGGACGGGUGAGUAACGCGUGGGAAUCUGCCCUCAGGAGGGGGAUAACGGUUGGAAACGGCCGCUAAUACCCCAUAUGCCGAGAGGUGAAAUGAAUUUCGCCUGAGGAUGAGCCCGCGUCUGAUUAGCUAGUUGGUGAGGUAAGAGCUCACCAAGGCAUCGAUCAGUAGCUGGUCUGAGAGGAUGAUCAGCCACACUGGGACUGAGACACGGCCCAGACUCCUACGGGAGGCAGCAGUGGGGAAUUUUCCGCAAUGGGCGAAAGCCUGACAGAGCAACGCCGCGUGAGGGAUGAAGGCCUCUGGGCUGUAAACCUCUUUUCUCAAGGAAGAAGAUCUGACGGUACUUGAGGAAUAAGCCACGGCUAAUUCCGUGCCAGCAGCCGCGGUAAUACGGGAGUGGCAAGCGUUAUCCGGAAUUAUUGGGCGUAAAGCGUCCGCAGGCGGCCCAUCAAGUCUGCUGUUAAAAAGUGGAGCUUAACUCCAUCAUGGCAGUGGAAACUGUUGGGCUAGAGUGUGGUAGGGGCAGAGGGAAUUCCCGGUGUAGCGGUGAAAUGCGUAGAUAUCGGGAAGAACACCAGUGGCGAAGGCGCUCUGCUGGGCCAUAACUGACGCUCAUGGACGAAAGCCAGGGGAGCGAAAGGGAUUAGAUACCCCUGUAGUCCUGGCCGUAAACGAUGAACACUAGGUGUCGGGGGAAUCGACCCCCUCGGUGUCGUAGCCAACGCGUUAAGUGUUCCGCCUGGGGAGUACGCACGCAAGUGUGAAACUCAAAGGAAUUGACGGGGGCCCGCACAAGCGGUGGAGUAUGUGGUUUAAUUCGAUGCAACGCGAAGAACCUUACCAGGGUUUGACAUCCUGCGAACUUCUUGGAAACGAGAAGUG